UACGAAGGGUGCAAGCGUUACUCGGAAUUACUGGGCGUAAAGCGCGCGUAGGCGGUUCGUUAAGUCUGAUGUGAAAGCCCUGGGCUCAACCUGGGAAUGGCAUUGGAAACUGGGGACCUAGAGUGCGGUAGAGGGUAGUGGAAUUCCCGGUGUAGCAGUGAAAUGCGUAGAGAUCGGGAGGAACAUCCGUGGCGAAGGCGACUACCUGGACCAACACUGACACUGAGGCACGAAAGCGUGGGGAGCAAACAGG
rnacentral:rRNA from 1 species